ensembl:snRNA LOC120098738 U4 spliceosomal RNA
AGCUUUGUGCAGUGGCAGUAUUGUAGCCAAUGAGGUUUAUCUGAGGUGCGAUUAUUGCUAAUUGAAAACUUUUCCCAAUACCCCGCCAUGACAACUUGCAAUAUAGUUGGCAUUGGCAAUUUUUGACAGUCUCUAUGGAAA